AGCGCGGCGGCGCAUGCGCGGAGGAGCGGCGGAGGUCAUGGCGGGCCUGGUGGAUUUUGAGGAUGAGGAGCAGGUGGCCUCUUUCCUGGAGAACAUGGAGGUGGAGUGUCACUACCAGUGCUACAAGGAGAAGGACCCGGACGGUUGUUUCAGACUGGUAGACUUUCUAGAAGGGAUCCAGAAGAACUUUGAUGAAGCAGCCAAGGUGCUGAAGUUCACUUGUGAAGACUACCACCACAGCGACAGCUGCUACAAGCUGGGAGCCUACUAUGUGACCGGGAAAGGAGGAUUAGCCCCAAACUUGAAAAAUGCUUAUAAUUGUUUUUUAAAGGCUUGUGAGAAACCUGGGAAGAAGUCAAUAAAUGCUUGUCACAAUGUCGGACUACUGGACCAAGAUGGGCGCCUCAAUGACAACAAGCCUGACCUGAUCCGAGCCCGAGACUACUACACAAGGGCUUGCGAUGGCAACUAUGCCCCCAGCUGCUUCAAUCUCAGUACCAUGUACCUCCAGGGAUCCCCUAACAUCCCUAAGGACAUGAGCCUGGCUUUGAAAUUCUCUCUGAAAGCCUGCGAUCUGGGUCACGUCUGGGCCUGUGCCAAUGCCAGCCGAAUGUAUAAACUGGGAGAUGGGGUGGCAAAGGAUGAAACCAAAGCCGAGUCCCUGAAGAACAAGGCCAAGCAGUUGCACAAAGAGCAGCAGAAAAGCGUCCAGCCCUUGGCAUUUGGGGUGUGAGAGCCUCCUAAAUACCGAGCUGGCUUUGGCAAUGUGGGCUUCAUCAUCACCAUUUAUGUGUACAUCCCUGGAAAAUAUACUGCCAAGGGUCAUCAGAGUCCAGCGGCAAGACAAAAGUCAAGAUGACUCUAAUGGCUGUGGAUGCAGUGAAUGAGCACGGUUUCUGAGUGCUCCAUAGCAUCUGCUUCUGCUGUUGGGACAAAUUGUUCACGUCUCCCUAUUCAGCUAGGAAAGUCUCCCGUGCUUGGGGUGGACACCCCCUAACUCAGUGAGUUUGAGACUCCUUGUGUAGUCCAUCUGCCAAGAAAAUUUACCGGAUUGUGGCCACUGUGCAUGCUACAGCUUCCUGGAGUCACAGAGUCAUCAAAGUCCAGUGACAAAAGUCAAGCUGGCUGGUGACGGCCCAGGAUAUAGGGGAUAACCUUGGGAUCUUUAAUGUCUAAGCAAGAUCUAAAGGCUCCAUAGCACCUACUUCAUCAUGGUCUGUUGCAACAAAAUGUUUACAUCUGCCUCCUCCACUGGAGAAAUCUUCACUACUUGGGGUAGACACUCCCCUAACUCAUCAGUGGGUUACAGAUCCCUUGGUUUUCCUCAACCUGGAAAGAUGAAGAUAAUUUUCCACAGUAUGGCCCCUGUACAUGCUUCAACUUCUUGGAGACACAGGAAGAAUCACUUAAACAGUGCUCCAUGGAUGACAUCCAUAUGAAUUAACCCAACCUUAUGUCAACAAAGAAAUGUCGAAUAAAUGGCUAAGUCAUGCAGAUUUGUUAAUAAAAAUGGAAGAGGAGGACAGUUAAGUAACAAUUCUGGAUCAGACAUUGCCACCAGAAAUGUUAGAAAUUUUAUCCUUAAGGAACCCAGACUUAUUGAUUGGUACAGAUUUACAGAUUACAAUGAAGUGGUGAAAACUAUGAACUAAAUUAUAGCAGGCUGCAAAAAUUUAGCAUCGAUCGAAAAGGCUCAAUUGAGUGGCUACAAUUAUACACCAUGAACUUUCUAUCCUUGAUAAAAGUAACAAAUGACAAAUCCCUGUCCUACAAAUGUAUCCACCCCUGCCCCAAAUAUCUUUAAAAAUUCAGUGAACAAAAUGUCCUGGUACAAAGCGUUAUUAUAAGCAGAACUGUGGUCAGUAAUUUCUUGGAUAUAGCAUCAACAUAUAAAAAGUUAGGAAUGACAUUUUUAAAAAGCUUUUUCUUUUCAAAACAUACACAUAGAUAAUUUUCAAUAUUCACCCUUCCAAA